UACGAAGGGGGCUAGCGUUGUUCGGAAUUACUGGGCGUAAAGGGCGCGUAGGCGGUACUUCAAGUCAGGCGUGAAAGCCCCGGGCUCAACCUGGGAACCGCGCUUGAGACUGGAGAACUAGAGUUCGGGAGAGGAUGGUGGAAUUCCCAGUGUAGAGGUGAAAUUCGUAGAUAUUGGGAAGAACACCGAUGGCGAAGGCAGCCAUCUGGACCGACACUGACGCUGAGGCGCGAAAGCAUGGGGAGCGAACAGG
rnacentral:rRNA from 1 species